AUUGAACGCUGGCGGCAUGCUUUACACAUGCAAGUCGGACGGCAGCAUAAAAGAGCUUGCUCUUUUGAUGGCGAGUGGCGAACGGGUGAGUAAUGCAUCGGAACGUACCGAGUAGUGGGGGAUAACUGUCCGAAAGGAUGGCUAAUACCGCAUAUUCUCUGAGGAGGAAAGCAGGGGACCUUAGGGCCUUGCGCUAUUUGAGCGGCCGAUGUCUGAUUAGCUAGUUGGUGGGGUAAGAGCCCACCAAGGCGACGAUCAGUAGCGGGUCUGAGAGGAUGAUCCGCCACACUGGGACUGAGACACGGCCCAGACUCCUACGGGAGGCAGCAGUGGGGAAUUUUGGACAAUGGGCGCAAGCCUGAUCCAGCCAUGCCGCGUGUAUGAAGAAGGCCUUCGGGUUGUAAAGUACUUUUGUCAGGGAAGAAAAGCCUGAGGAUAACACCCUCAGGUCAUGACGGUACCUGAAGAAUAAGCACCGGCUAACUACGUGCCAGCAGCCGCGGUAAUACGUAGGGUGCGAGCGUUAAUCGGAAUUACUGGGCGUAAAGCGAGCGCAGACGGUUAUUUAAGCAAGAUGUGAAAGCCCCGGGCUCAGCCUGGGAACUGCGUUUUGAACUGGGUAACUAGAGUGUGUCAGAGGGGGGUAGAAUUCCACGUGUAGCAGUGAAAUGCGUAGAGAUGUGGAGGAAUACCGAUGGCGAAGGCAGCCCCCUGGGAUAACACUGACGUUCAUGCUCGAAAGCGUGGGUAGCAAACAGG
rnacentral:rRNA from 1 species